rnacentral:rRNA from 1 species
UACGGAGGGAGCUAGCGUUGUUCGGAAUUACUGGGCGUAAAGCGCACGUAGGCGGCUUUGUAAGUUAGAGGUGAAAGCCCAGGGCUCAACCCUGGAAUUGCCUUUAAGACUGCAUCGCUUGAACAUCGGAGAGGUAAGUGGAAUUCCGAGUGUAGAGGUGAAAUUCGUAGAUAUUAGGAAGAACACCGGUGGCGAAGGCGGCCCACUGGAUCGGUACUGACGCUGAGGUGCGAAAGCGUGGGGAGCGAACAGG